GCCAAUCCCAAAUAGCAAUAUCAUAAACCCAUGCAUUAUAUCUUUGGGCUCGCACUGCAGGCGUAACUCCAAGUCGUGUUAGUAUUUCUGCUUUCAAUCGGUCAUAGUCUUGCGCUUGGUUGAGAGGCAAAUCAUCAUAUGCUUUUUGGGAUUCUCCACUGAGGCAAGGGGCUAAUAAUCCUGCCCACUGACCUGGAGGCCAUCCUUCUCAGGCAGUAAUCCUUUCAAAGGUUGUCAGGUAAGCCUCCAUGUCAUCAACCUCACUCACUUUAUGUAAAAAGUCAGUAACUCUAAUCCGGCGCCCCCUAUCCAUAGUAGGGGUAGUCACACUUGACAGUAUGGUUUGUUGCAAAGCACUUGUUAGUUUUACUCUGUCUUCCCGCUGUGUUUCCAUUAUGCAGUCUAUUUGUGUGGCCAAUAAGCGGUUUGUCUCCUGUUGGGCUGCAACAGCCUGUCGCUGUGACUCCAUGAGACUACUGAUCUGAGCUGCUGUUACACGGUUUGUGUCUUGCUGGGUAGUAGUAGCCUGUACCAAGGCUUUUACUAACUCUUCCAUCUUGCUUUUUUUUUUUUCCCACAGCCACCUGG